rnacentral:tRNA from 1 species
AUAUAGAUGGCUCGAGUGGUUUAUGGCACUUGAUUGAAAAUCAAGCAUAAGGGAAACUUUAUCGGGAGUUCGAAUCUCCCUCUAUCCG